AACGGCCAUACCAUGCUGAAUAUACCGGUUCUCGUUAGAUCACCGAAGUCAAGCAUCAUUGGGCGCGGUCAGUACUUGGGUGGGUGACCACCUGGGAACACCACGUGCCGUU
rnacentral:rRNA from 1 species